rnacentral:lncRNA from 1 species
CUUUUCAUUUAAAGCAAAUCUCAAGCACAAGCACCUUCAAAAGCUUACGCAGAAGUGGUAUUUCGGUGGAGUUGUUUGUAGUUUGCUCUGAUUCGAUAAUUCUACUUCUUCUGUACGAAACCAAAUAAGCCCUAACACCAUUUUUCCUCAUUACAAUCAAAAUCAAUUCUGUUUUGACAUAUAAACAUCUUAUUCAAUACAUCUCUUUUAUUUUUCUUAAACGCAAUACAUAUCAACAAAUAAAUGAGCAAUAUAAUUUGAUUUCUAUAUAUAUAUAUAUAUAUAUAGAAAUCAAAUUAUAUUGCUCAUUUAUUUGAUAGGUUUGAGUUACUAUACUCUUAUAAAUAUGAACUCUUCUGUACUUAUAAGUUUCCGGUUGUUUUUUUUUUGAGAGAAAUAGGUAGCACGCUACCCGCUUCGUUUAUUUCAUUUAGAAAUAAACUUAGCUAGAAAUAUAAAUCAACUAGGAUUCGAACUUGGGUCUCGGGUACCAACUAUCAAGUCGUUUGCCACUUGCUCUAAGGACGAUCGGUAUAAGUUUCCAGUUGUUGAAUGAAAAAAUAUGCGAUUAGGAUGAUAAUAAUCCCCUAGGGUUGAGUUGGUGGUUAAUCGAAUAGUAUGAUUUAACGGACGGAAAUGAUCACAGAGAUAGAUUUAACGGUUGAAAACUUAUAAGUACAAAAGGGUCUACACUCUAUAAUAUUUAUAUAUACGAUCCCUAAGUUAGUUUUUUGAAUAAAAUAAUUUACCGCAUAGGUAAUUAAGUCGCGGAGACACGCGCAAACCUACAUUGCAUAUGGCAUCCAGAAAAUUGAGAAUUCGGGUGUCACAUUUGUAGAACACGCACAGAGAAUCAAACUUCUGACCUUUUAUAAAACAGUUCUGAGCGAG